rnacentral:lncRNA from 1 species
GAAACAUUAAGCUUCUCAACAAAACCACUCUCUAUUUUAACUAGAGCACUUGAGCCUUGUUCACCCUGAAGCUUUGGACCGCUUGCGCAGCUCCUCCGCUCCAGAGGCGAGCGCCCGGCAGAGCGGCUCGGGCCCGGCAGCGAUUGAGCAGCGCAGCUCGUGUCGGCCCGUCCUGCGUGAGGAAGCGGCUAGGGCUCUGCUGCUGCCGAGCAAGGCAGUGGAAACAGAUCCUCGCCAGUGGUCUCAGAUGUAUUGUUUGGAAACAUGUUUGGCUUUUAAUCAAAAGAAAUGGAGGGCUUGGUACUUAACAGGAGUUCAGUUUUUUUCUCUUGUUUUCAAUGGUGUCCAUCCAGGACUUCUGGAUGCGGUAAGUAGAUACCAGCAUCCGAUAGGAAUGGAGUUAGCAAAGACAUUCAAGGGUUAAUACUUUGUCACUAGAAUGAGCACUCAGUGUGGCUUACUUUAGGCAAAUGAUUUAAAACUCUAGCAAUCCCCCAUCUUCUCAAAUGACUGCUUUUAAGUGCAUCUAUUCCCCCUCUCCACCAUGUAUAGGUCCUGCUUUUCUGAGAAGCAUGAGAUAAAUAUGGUUGUCUUGGAUGGCUUUUAUAAGAAGAGGUAGUUUUCAAUUAUUUAUUUACUUUUUAACAAAAGAGGCCUUUUAAUUAGUGUUUAAAUAUUUAUAACAGUUUUAUUGUGCUGUAAAAUCGGUUAUACUUUGAUCUAGAUUUUCUGGUUUGAGAUAAUAGUGCUGGUAAAAGUUUCCCUAAUGAAUUUGGUCAGAACAUGACAUAAUCUGAUUAUCUGAUGAAAGAUUGACACUUCAGUUCCUGCCAGCAUAAAAGUGCAGUACAAUAGGGGGCUGUUCAGCACACAUUCAAAGGCUGGGAGUUCAAGUUCAGGUACUGCRGAGUUGUUCAAAGUUCCUAAUUAUGGUGGUGAAACAGUUUUGUGGUUUUUUCACUGCAUUUUUGGUCAGUAGUAGCAUAUCCUGGAUGAGAGGAGUGAAGUUUGAAGUUACAUAUAUAAACUACGUAACUCUGUCCUGUAACUUUUAUUUUCUUUCUCUCCAUUUGCUAAAUAGUUAUUGGUGUUACUCCUUAAAAUAUUGAGGAACUAAUUGAUCAAAACAUUGCAGGCAUAGGAAACAGUUAGUACUAGAAACUGGGAAUUGAGCAUCAUCAGUAUGCAAUUGCUGUUGGACUCUCAACCAACUUUUUAUUAAUAUCCCUUACAUUUUAACCAUUUAACUGUUUGGCAUGUGAUUACUCUUACCUCAGAGUGUUGGAGAUGAGCAUACUUAACUGAACUGCUGCAUCCUACAUACUCAUGCAAAAUGGCUAUAGAAUUAUGUGAUCAAAUUAACAUGAAAGAACAGUUGUGGGUUUGUAUCUAAAAUGUAAUCUUAACUUCAACUGUUAAAAUAAACAUUUGUUUUAUUUGAUGUUCA